ACACAGAGGAACAACAAAAUAUCAGGUUUGCGUUUUAACUGAGUACCCAAAUCAGACUCGACGGACAGUGAAAAGACAGGAACUGACACAAGUGGUAAAAAAGAUCCUGAGGUCGAGGCUGGCAUGGAGGGGAAGGUUGAAGAAGAGUUCCAGGUAGGUGAGAUUUGUGAGGUCUUGGUUGUUCUUGUAGGUGGUAGUGCACGAGAGAGGCAGGGCGGAGAUGUGAGGAGGAUUCACAGAGAAAUCCAGUUCCCAGAUAAGCUCACAGCUUUCAACGAGGGAGGAACCAGAGAAAACUCCUCAGAGGGUUUCACAGGGGUUUGAACCGGAGGUGACUGAAUAUUCCAGCAUCGGAUGGAUCUCAGCCAGCAGCUUAAAUGGUGUCAGAGUCUCAUCAGCAGAACACUGUGCAGGUGAGUCCAUCCCAGUCUCCGCCCACAUGCCAAUC